CUACGGGACGCUCCAGUGAGGAAUAUUGCACAAUGGGGGGAACCCUGAUGCAGCAACGCCGCGUGCAGGAUGACGCAUUUCGGUGUGUAAACUCCUUUUAUAUGUCAAGAAAAUGACGGUAGCAUAUGAAUAAGCACCGGCUAACUCCGUGCCAGCAGCCGCGGUAAUACGGAGGGUGCAAGCGUUACUCGGAAUCACUGGGCGUAAAGGAAGCGUAGGCGGGUUGGAAAGUCAGGUGUGAAAUCCUACAGCUUAACUGUAGAACUGCACUUGAAACUUCUAAUCUAGAGUAUGGGAGGGGGAGAUGGAAUUAGUGGUGUAGGGGUAAAAUCCGUAGAUAUCACUAGGAAUACCUAAAGCGAAGGCGAUCUCCUGGAACAUUACUGACGCUAAGGCGUGAAAGCGUGGGGAGCAAACAGGAUUAGAUACCCCUGUAGUC
rnacentral:rRNA from 1 species